rnacentral:lncRNA from 1 species
AGAAAGACUAUCUGUGAAGCGGGCUGGAAAGCGUGCUUUCUAGAAAGCCGACUAGGAAUUGAGGAGAAGGCGUGCCUGUGUGUGCUUCUCCUUGCUUUCUCAUGCUUACUGUCUGGGUUUCUAGCUUGCUUUCUGACUGGCUUUCUGACGCUUUCCCUGGAAAGGGGGUGCCACGCUUUCUGAGAAAGACUAUCUGUAAAGCGGGCUGGAAAGCGUGCUUUCUAGAAAGCCGACUAGGAAUCGAGGAGAAGGCGUGCCUGUGUGUGCUUCUCCUU